rnacentral:rRNA from 1 species
GAUGAACGCUAGCGGCAGGCUUAACACAUGCAAGUCGAACGGUAACAGGAAUUAGCUUGCUAAUUUGCUGACGAGUGGCGCACGGGUGCGUAACGCGUAUACAAUCUACCUCUUACAGUGGGAUAGCCCAGAGAAAUUUGGAUUAAUACCGCAUAGUAUUAUGAAUUGGCAUCGAUUUAUAAUUAAAGUUUCGGCGGUAAGAGAUGAGUAUGCGUUCUAUUAGCUAGAUGGUAAGGUAACGGCUUACCAUGGCAACGAUAGAUAGGGGCCCUGAGAGGGGGAUCCCCCACACUGGUACUGAGACACGGACCAG